CGGGACGGGGUGGAGUAAUGUCUGGGAAACGUGCCUGAUGGAGGGGGAUAACUACUGGAAACGGUAGCUAUACCGCAUAACGUCGCAAGACCAAAGAGGGGGACCUUAGGGCCUCUUGCCAUCGGAUGUGCCCAGAUGGGAUUAGCUAGUAGGUGGGGUAAAGGCUCACCUAGGCGACGAUCCCUAGCUGGUCUGAGAGGAUGACCAGCCACACUGGAACUGAGACACGGUCCAG
rnacentral:rRNA from 1 species